rnacentral:misc_RNA from 1 species
CAUUCGGUACAUUGGUUCCAUUUUAAGUACAUUUUAAGUUUGGCCAAAUUAUUUGUCAAGGAAAUUUGUAUGCCGAUUUUCUUUUGCCAAGUGGAUUUUGGUUAAACAUAUUAAAACAUAGAACUUUUUGAUAGUGUGCCAUUGGGAAUGAAACAUUUAAUAGCAUGUCAUUGUGAACGAGAUAUGUGAAACGAAGAAGUAACUAGCCUUUAUGUGCGCGCAAUUUGAAUGAAUAAUUAAUGAAAGCCGACAAAUUAGAGAAACUGCAAUGGAUAAUUGGAUUGUUCGCAAGAAACGUGAAAAUGCAGCUGCAGGCAAUGAUGAGAACAAUAACGAAGAAAGCAACGUAGUUUCCGUGGCGAAAAAGUAAAAGUAUGAGAUCAAAUUUAAGAGGGAGUGGGCAUCUAAGUACAAUUGGCUCCAAGAAGACUCUACCGCAAAGCAAGGUAAGAGGUGCAUGAUAUGCGGUGUUCCAAUUUACGGCAAUAUGUUUCACAUCGAUCGGCAUUCAAAUUCAGACCUCCAUAAAAAAAUGCUAAUAUUGCUAAAGCAACCUUAAAAAUUUCGAGUUUUACUAAGCCGAAUAGCGAGGAAAUGGAAUUAAGUCGCUCAGCAAAGGCAAUGGAGAUUCGUUUGUGUAUGUUCGUUGCUGAGCACAAUUUGCUAUUUACUGCUUUGGACCAUUUGGCAAAAUGUAUUAAAACGCUUAAACAACCAACAACAGCAACAAAAUGAAUGAAGCCAAGAGUCUGUUCACCACCUUCCUUAUCCUGGUCUUCUUGUUGGGUUUACUGUGGGCUUUCUAUGAAGCGGUUUUCUAAAACUCUAACUAUGUACUUAGACAUGAUUUUCAUGUUUUAAACUUUAAUAUACCCCAUAGAAACACACACACACACACACAAAUCCUGUGUUUUGGGGUACUUUUUGUUAGUUUUUUUUAUUUAUCAUCAUCAAAUGUCAUAGUUUGGAAAUAUUUAUUUAUGUACAUCAAAGAUGUCAACAUGAAAUCUGGCAACAACAACAACAACAACAACAACAUCAUCGUCUUACAUGAUAGAAUGAAUGCGCGAAAAAUCAAUUCCAAAUAACAUUAAGUCAACGAAUUCGUAAAUGCAAAAAAAAAAUUAAAGAAUUCGCUUGGAUAGAAAAUGAGAUGACGUCAACAUUUAAGCAGCCGCUGGGAUGCCAAUACGGCUGGGUUGUUGCGAUGGGAAAGCGAUUUUUCGCUGUUCACAGAGAAAAAACAAAACCAAAAUCGAUGAGUUUCACUUCUUGCUGCCCCGUGGAAAAUAUUGUAAGCAAAUUACCAUCAGCAUCACUGUGACCUUGCGGCGUGCUUGUUGUAGACACCUAUUUAUUUGGAAAGUAAAAAUAUACUAAAAAGCGUAAAAGUGGAAAUUUUCAGCAGCUGUCAGCAAUCCAUCAGUUCAUCUUCAGUAAAAUAUUCCAGCCAACCGACGUUCAUGUCAUCGACUUCUAGAAAUUGCGUUUAUUUAAAACAACAAAAUAAUUAUGAAAGGAAGCAAAAAAAAAAAAAAA